UUAUGCUGAGAAGCAGGUGGAGGAUCAGAGCCACGCUCCUCGCUGUCUCUUCCCCUUUGCCAAGCAUUUGUCCUCCGCCAACUCCUAAUCCUCGAAGGGGGUUUGAUCUGGUGCCGAGGAGGAGGAGGACAGAGGGAUCGCUGCUAUGCAUGUUCUUGCUGAUGUGGUCUGUGCGUGUGAAGAUGGCUACUGUUUAGAACGAUCCCAAAUUUUAGCUCUCAGAUGACUGUUUCCCAAGUCAGGUCAGGUUGCUCUUAUUCUUAGCAUCUUUCUGACGGGAGAAGUGACUGGCUCAUCCUGAUCAAGGUUUUUCCUCUUAGCAUUUUUCUUACUAGGAGAUCAUAAAGGAGAUGGGCGAAUUUCAUGAUCACGACAACUUUAGGAGCCAAGGCACAGGGUUGACUCAAGAAUGAAGAAUGAAGAAUAAUUUGUAAAUGUUGUGAGGCUUCGUAAUAUUGACAUUUUACUUCUGUUUAUAUAUAUGAUUUUGUAUGAUAUGUGUGACUUUGUGAUAUUGAAUGAAGAUAUUCGAUCUAUUGUGUCUAUGAUAUAUUGUGUAUGGAUUUUGA